CUUUUACAUACGUUCAAAAUUUGAGGGAGUAAUUGGUGGUCUGACACCUACAUAACACUAGGAGAUAACUCUGUAAGAAACAGCUGAACAUUUUUAUACACAAUUUUUUUUAAACAUUUUCUCAUUGUUGAAGGACUUGUCUGUGAACUUGUAUAUGAAGAACAGCAAUAAAAUAAAAGGGUUUCUUUGUUGUAGACCAAGUAAAUUUGACAUUUCCCCUCUCUUAUUCUUCAAUUUUUCCUGCUUCUUAAUAACAGGGACAUUAGAAAGAACCAAUCGAGCAUAUCUUUAGUUUGGCUGCAUCAUUUUUCCAUGUGGACUGCUUCCCAAAAAUGAAACCAGAUAAUCUCCAGAAAACUUCAGCAUGACAUCUCAAAGUCCCCUUCUACAGGCAUAGGCAGUAAGCCUGUAGCUGUCGUAGGUCGCUAGCGAACAUCCCAGCCGCCCGUCCUCGCGAGUCUGCGACGUAGGCCAUCUCAACAUCCAUGACUGUCGUCCCAUUUGGAGGUAACCAGCUACUUCGAGGAAACGCCACAAACAGCAAAAUCACUUAAUCCUACUUACAUUGCCUAUAUUUCUUCAAGUCUUUCACUUUGGGCUGCUUCUUCUGUCCUCUUUGGUAGAAUUGGAAAUAAAAGAAAGUCAUUAUUAUUCAGAUUAAUAUACACAAAUCAAAACAUUUUUAAGCACAAUUUUUUUUAAACAUUUUCUCAUUGUUAAAGGACUUGUCUGUGAACUUGUAUAUGAUGAACAGCAAUCAAGUAAAAGGGUUUCUUUGUUGUAGACCAAGUAAAUUUGACAUUUUCCCUCUCUUAUUCUUCAAUUUUUCCUGCUUCUUAAUAACAGGGACAUUAGAAAGAACCAAUCGAGCAUAUCUUUAGUUUGGCUGCAUCAUUUUUCCAUGUGGACUGCUUCCCAAAAAUGAAACCAGAUAAUCUCCAGAAAACUUCAGCAUGACAUCUCAAAGUCCCCUUCUACAGGCAUAGGCAGAAAGCCUGUAGCUGUCGUAGGUCGCUAGCGAACAUCCCAGCCGCCCGUCCUCGCGAGUCUGCGACGUAGGCCAUCUCAACAUCCAUGACUGUCGUCCCAUUUGGAGGUAACCAGCUACUUCGAGGAAACGCCACAAACAGCAAAAUCACUUAAUCCUACUUACAUUGCCUAUAUUUCUUCA
rnacentral:lncRNA from 1 species